rnacentral:misc_RNA from 1 species
AAAUAGUUGAAUAACACAUGUAGAUUAGCGGAGAGCAACAGGGCAGAGUCCGCAGACUGAGGAAGUCCUUUGUUGCUGAGUUUUUCAUUUUUAAACCUCAAAUCUUCACAGUUGCUACUUGGUUUCCCAAAUGUGAAAGGGAACUUGGCUCUUUUUCAACUUCUAUGAUUGUCUAUUGUCAAUGUCCUAUCAUAGUAAGAAAAAUUUUGGGGAAAUGUUUAAAACUUAUUUUGUUCAAAU